rnacentral:rRNA from 1 species
CGGGUGAGUAACGCGUGGGUAACCUGCCUUGUACUGGGGGACAACAGUUGGAAACGACUGCUAAUACCGCAUAAGCGCACAGCUUCACAUGAAGCAGUGUGAAAAACUCCGGUGGUACAAGAUGGACCCGCGUCUGAUUAGCUGGUUGGUGAGGUAACGGCCCACCAAGGCGACGAUCAGUAGCCGGCCUGAGAGGGUGAACGGCCACAUUGGGACUGAGACACGGCCCAA